rnacentral:ncRNA from 1 species
UACCGGCGCAUCAGCGGUGUUUCUGAUGCACCUCCCUGUUGGACUCGGCCGGACCCUUGGGUUCGGCCUAUUUU